rnacentral:rRNA from 1 species
CCUACGGGAGGCAGCAGUGGGGGAUAUUGCACAAUGGGGGGAACCCUGAUGCAGCGACGCCGCGUGGGUGAAGAAGCGCCUCGGCGCGUAAAGCCCUGUCAGCAGGGAAGAAAAUGACGGUACCUGAAGAAGAAGCCCCGGCUAACUACGUGCCAGCAGCCGCGGUAAUACGUAGGGGGCAAGCGUUAUCCGGAUUUACUGGGUGUAAAGGGGGCGCAGACGGGGUUGCAAGUCAGGAGGGAAAGCCCGGGGCCCAACCCCGGGACUGCCGUUGGAACUGCGUGGCUGGAGUGGAGGAGGGGCAGGCGGAAUUCCUGGUGUAGCGGUGAAAUGCGUAGAUAUCAGGAGGAACACCGGUGGCGAAGGCGGCCUGCUGGACUGCAACUGACGUUGAGGCACGAAAGCGUGGGGAGCAAACAGGAUUAGAUACCCUUGUAGUC